GUUGGCUGCAUGUUUAAGGACUUCAGGGUCUCAUCUGUUGUUUUAAUCAAAAUGCUCCUGGAACUUCAUUACACUAAUUUAAAUGAACCUCACAUGCGUUGUCAUGGAUACUUGCACAUUAUUGCACAUUGAGGCUGACUAUCAUUCCUGUGAGCCCUCAGAAGAGCAUGUGAAGAAGCAAACUGUCAACUGAAUCCUGUAUUUUCAACAACACAUCUCUGCCAGCCGGUUGUUCAUGAUGCCGAGGGCGCCAACCCCUCCCGAGAAUCCGUUCUGCCGCGAGCUGGAGCCGGACUGGCGCGGGUGUCCGAUGGCCAUCUCCGAAAGCUGCUUCUGCAUAAUCGCCAGGUUCACCUGCAGGACACAAGAUGCAUAAGGAGAACGACAGGGGCUGCAUACUUCGAAGGAUGCGUUUGAAGGCCAAUUGAGUCACAAAGCUGCACAAAGGCUGUCCCAAUCUGAAGACUCCUCCAAAUGUUCCUCCUUUUUGCCUCUUUUUGGAGGAUGCACUGCUACUAUCCUUCGCAGCCUCCCAUCGUGAUGUAUUGGUAAGAGUGGGAACAUCUGGUGAUGCAACCAGGAAAUACCCAGAAGGCGAGACCGUCCCAUUUAGCAACAGCUGACACGGCCUUCGAAGGUUGCAAAUGGUCCGGGUCCUUCGAAGGAUGCAGCAUCUGAAUUGGGACACAGCCUAUAUUUGGAAAAGUGACUCAGACAUAAAUAAA